rnacentral:tRNA from 1 species
UGGGAGGUGGCUCAAUGGGUAGAGCACUGGACUCUCAAUCAUGAGGUCCCGAGUUCAAUACCCGGCAACACAU